rnacentral:rRNA from 1 species
UACGUAGGGGCGCAAGCGUUGUCCGGAAUUAUUUGGGCGUAAAGAGCUCGUAGGCGGUUUGUCGCGUCUGCUGUGAAAACCUGGGGCUCAACCCCGGGCCUGCAGCCGAUACGGGCAAGCUAGAAUUCGGUAGGGGAGACUGGAAUUCCUGGUGUAGCGGUGAAAUGCGCAGAUAUCAGGAGGAACACCGGUGGCGAAGGCGGGUCUCUGGGCCAUAUUGACGUGAGGAGCGAAAGCGUGGGGGAGCAAACAGG